rfam:Stegodyphus mimosarum contig22495, whole genome shotgun sequence.
CAAAAGGCCCUUUUCAGGGCCAUACAAUUUCAGGUAUAGUUCUAU